rnacentral:misc_RNA from 1 species
UUCGGAGAGUAUAGAUUCAAGGAUUAGGAGAGCUCUUGUGAGGGUUGCUGCUGGUCAGGUUAGCUUAAUUUAGAGUUUUUAUUUCAUGUACCAAUUCAUGCAUGCGCAGAUUUAUUUGUGCAUUUAGCGCGAUUUUGGGAAUCUUUUUGGUUUGGUUUUGAAUAUUGGUGGAUCUAGUGCUGUUGUUAUGAUAAUGUGUUCAUUUUAGUGAACAUUAUUUUUCUUUUUGAAUAAAGUGGAUUGAUCUGAUAAAUAUGAUGCCGUGGCUAAUAUAUGUGGAUCAUGAUUCGUUAAUAUUUUGUUGGGGGAACCAUAAUUCUAAGUAAUGCAAUUUGUUAUACUACUGACUAAUUUCGAAAUUUGAAUUUUGUGGGAGCUGAAUGACUCCAUAAUGUUUUGUUGUCAAUAUACCGCAAUGCGAUUUUAUCUUGUCUUUGCUUUGUUGUUGGUUUAUGCAUUUGCUUUGGGGAAUCUUUUUCGUAUUCUCUGCGUCUCUACUCUAUAUUUUGUUUUGGACUAUUUUGUUAUUCCAUGAUCUAUUCUUUGUUCAUCUGAAUUUUAAAUUCUGAAAUACAGAUAAUC